rnacentral:rRNA from 1 species
UACGUAGGUGGCAAGCGUUGUCCGGAUUUAUUGGGCGUAAAGAGCGUGUAGGCGGCCAGAUAGGUCCGUUGUGAAAACUCGAGGCUCAACCUCGAGACGCCGAUGGAAACCAUCAGACUAGAGUCCGGAAGAGGAGAGUGGAAUUCCUGGUGUAGCGGUGAAAUGCGCAGAUAUCAGGAAGAACACCCGUGGCUAAGGCGGCUCUCUAGUACGGUACUGACGCUGAGACGCGAAAGCGUGGGGAGCGAACAGG